AAUUGAAUCAAGUGGAGCCUGUGGGAACCCUGGGACAGUAAGACCACUGUUGGCCCACUGGAAAGCCCAUGCUACCACAUCUGCAGGGUGACUUGUUCAGGUCCAAGCUCUGAAAGGGGCUGAUAGGGCAUCUGCCUGUCCUAGAAGGGCAUCCAUGGCUGUGACUGAAGGAUGUAAAAAUGUGAAGUAAGUCACAGGAAAACUUUUCUUCCGAGAACAUCGUUGUCUGCAGACACAGCAUGAGACCAGCAAUCAGCUUUCCUCUUCUGCCACCUGCUCUCAAAAGCAAUAACAUACAUCUCUCUGAACAUUCCUCACUGAAUACUAUCACCAUCUGUACUUGACCAAGUGGACUUCUGAUCUGACAUUGUGGAUUUUUUAUGAAAAAGGUUGAUCCAGCACUUUCUGCUUCCAGUGAACUGUGAAUUUUCUUAUCGUGGUUAGAAAAGAUAUUUCUAACACUGAGUUGGCUGCACACCACUUUCUUCUAGCUUCCAUUUACACACUGACUGUUGUGAAGGGCCCUGGGCUCUCAGGAGCAGCGCAUGGCUUUGGCCCCUUGAGCACAUAUAAGACCCAACACGCAUACAAGUGGAAUUGUUUUGUUGGGGACAAAUAAAGGUUCUGGGAAGGCAAGAAGAUUGCACCCAAAUUCUUAUUGUCUAUGGACAAACCAACAGCAUUGCAGGAAGAAUGGAAUGUAUGGUCCUCGUCUUGCUGAGUGCACUGAGAAAAAUCAGGCCAAAGCCAAGUCCAUGCUGU